rnacentral:rRNA from 1 species
CGAACGGGUGAGUAACGCGUGAGGAACCUGCCUCAAAGAGGGGGACAACAGUUGGAAACGACUGCUAAUACCGCAUAAGCCCACGGCUCGGCAUCGAGCAGAGGGAAAAGGAGUAAUCCGCUUUGAGAUGGCCUCGCGUCCGAUUAGCUAGUUGGUGAGGUAACGGCCCACCAAGGCGACGAUCGGUAGCCGGACUGAGAGGUUGAACGGCCACAUUGGGACUGAGACACGGCCCAA